GUGGCUGGUGCUUUUAUGGUGGUCAAAUUGUGGCUAUGGCUAGUUUAAAGCACAAGCAACUCUUGCGAUUGCUUGGUAGGGUGACCAGAUGUCCCGAUUUUAUAGGACAGUCCCGAUUUUUGGAGCUUUUUCUUACAUAGGCACCUCUCCCCCGUCCCGAUUUUUCACACUUGCUAUCUGGUCAACCUAUUGCUUGGCCCUGUCCUGUGCUUCAUCUGCCCUGCAGACCUGCUCCUGUUUGGGGACAUUCUGUCUGGGGCCCCCUGCCCCAUGGGACUGCAGGGGAAGCAACUUCCGCUGAAACUCAUCCCUCUGUGGCAGCCGCAAUGAAGGAGGUCUGAAGGUGCUUUCUAAUCCUUACCUCAAAGGAUUGUGAUCCCCUGUUUACCAUACACCAUGACUAGCCCCACUGGAGCAGCUGGGAUGUAUGGUGCUGCUGACUGCGAGUAAGGACCCAGCCUGGCCCAUAGUGUUUGAAUUCAAAGGAAUCCAAAGUACUUUAAUAACUACGCUUCGAGAUGGACUGUGGCAGAGCCUGAAAUUUAUUUGGAAUACACGCAACAUUUCAAGCUUGUGAAUCCAUUUGGAGAAUCCAACUUCAUCUUCCUUUGGAAUCUUGAUAUAUCACAUUCUUACAGCUACAG